CAAGUACUCCCUCCGUGUCCGAAAAAACUUCUCCCAAGCUUGUCCAUCAUGAAGUCAAAUGGAUGUAUCUAGCACUAACUUGGUGCUGGAUACAUCCAUUUGAGGGACAAGCUUUUUCGGACGGAGGGAGUAUCUG
rnacentral:pre_miRNA from 1 species